rnacentral:rRNA from 1 species
UGCCAGCAGCCGCGGUAAGACGGAGGGUGCAAGCGUUAUCCGAAUUCACUGGGUUUAAAGGGUACGUAGGCGGUCUUGUAAGUCGAUGGUGAAAACUAGCAGCUCAACUGCUAACGUGCCAUCGAUACUGCUUGACUUGAGUAUAGUCGAGGUGGGCGGAAUUCUACAUGUAGCGGUGAAAUGCAUAGAUAUGUAGAGGAACACCAAUAGCGAAGGCAGCUCACUAGACUAUUACUGACGCUGAGGUACGAAAGCGUGGGGAGCAAACAGGAUUAGAUA